CACCUACUCCCUCCGUUCGGAAAAACUUGUCUUAGAAAUGGAUGUAUCUAUAACUAAAACAAGUCUAGAUACAACCAUUUCUAGGACAAGUGUUUCCGAACGGAGGGAGUAUGUU
rnacentral:pre_miRNA from 1 species